rnacentral:misc_RNA from 1 species
AAUAUACUCAAAAAUUCUUAAUAAUCAAAUCUAAUUAAUAAAAUAAACUUAAUACAAUAAACUAACAUUUUUCUCUAUAAAAAUAUAAAAACCAUUCAAAACCCAUCAAACUAUUUUACAACAAAAAAUAAAAACAUUAAUACAACCCUAAAAAAAACCAUAAAUAAAUACUACUAUAAAAUAAACUAUAUCCUCAAAUCCAUAUUUUAAAAUCCUAACUCCUAU